CUGCCUUUUGUUCACACCAGAGUUAUUGGCUACAUAGACACAGAAAAAAGAAUUUAAAGGAGGAUUCCACAGGAGAUUCAUCAAGUCCUAGAGACAGUGAGAGUCCUGGGGUUUCCGAGGAAAUUGUAAGGGGUGAAUCUGGCCAACUAAAUCAUUUGGUCAUGUCAACUUCUGUCCUAGUUAGUUUAUGCAGGGGCAUACAGAGUCAGAGAAGACCGCGAUUUUUGUGAACCCCAAACUGGGCGAGCGUAGCAGGACUUAAAGGUGCAUGGCAGAGCUCCGAGGCGGAUGUGGUUCGAUAAGCAACUGAGAGGGCGUCUGUCC